CUACCAUGCAGUCGAGCGGCCGUAUCAUACGGCAGCGGCAGACGGGAGAGUAUCACGUGGGAACGCGCCCUUCGGUUCGGAAUAACUCAGGGAAACUUGGGCUAAUACCGGAUACGCCCUUACGGGGAAAGAUUUAUUGCCGAAGGAACGGCCCGCGUCCGAUUAGCUUGUUGGUGAGGUAACGGCUCACCAAGGCGACGAUCGGUAGCUGGUCUGAGAGGAUGACCAGCCUCACUGGGACUGAGACACGGCCCAGACUCCUACGGGAGGCAGCAGUGGG
rnacentral:rRNA from 1 species